CAAAAAUGGGUCGCUUGUUUCCCGAAAUACUUGAAUGGACUCUAACUCUCCCAAAUGGUUUAACACCUAUAUGAUAACACUGAAGAAUUUGAAUAUCGCUUCACUAAUAAAUGCUUCAAAAGAAAUCUUGUAACAUGAAUGUUACAAGAAAAAUAUCCACGGCCCCUUUAUUGAACCUGAUGUGAAAGGAGCACACUGCGAGCUCAGUGGCUCUGAAUCAUGCCUCAAGCCUGUUCCACUUAAGCAAGCUCUCAAGACCCAACAAGUCUUCCGGUGACUCAGAACAGAAAGCAGAAUGAAUGCUCUGUCCAACUUGUGUUUCUGAAGCAUUUAUUGGGUGUCGCCCUCAACCAUCCAGCUGAAUCCUUUUUGCAAGACACACACAACAAAGAAUUCAGUGAACAAAGCAAAACAAGUCCGUGGCAUUCCAGAAGGAUUCCCUAAUCUAAAUAUAAAAUAUGCAAGUUGCAACUCAUCUGGCAGAUUGCACAGGGAGGAUUGCGAUAGACCAAGGCAACGAAAAGCCUCACGCUGGCAAAUUGAAUUGGAUUCGUUACAGUUUCAUCAAUUAUUUACACUUGACGACAUCAGGACCUACAAACAUGUGAAAAUUGCUUGGCCGUCUUUCCCAUAGUUAACUCUGGCCGUAUGGGGAAGUUCUUUCUGGUGGCCUGGGGGCUGAAGUGAUAUUUGUCCCGCAACUGCCCUUGUGCAGACCUCUGAGCUCUUCUCUUGGCUGACUGGGACCACACACAGAGUGACCUUGGACUUCAAUUGCUGGAACUGCCAUCAGCCCGAGUUUUCAAAUGACUUCAUGAAGACGGAAGCCAUGUCCUGCCUUUCCUUCCCUGAAAACUGGAACUCUUAAGUGAGCAAGAAUAAAACAAAUUCUUUAAGCCUC